rnacentral:rRNA from 1 species
CCUACGGGAGGCAGCAGUGGGGAAUAUUGGACAAUGGGCGCAAGCCUGAUCCAGCAAUGCCGCGUGAGUGAUGAAGGCCUUAGGGUCGUAAAGCUCUUUUACCAGGGAUGAUAAUGACAGUACCUGGAGAAUAAGCUCCGGCUAACUCCGUGCCAGCAGCCGCGGUAAUACGGAGGGAGCUAGCGUUGUUCGGAAUUACUGGGCGUAAAGCGUACGUAGGCGGUUAUUCAAGUCAGAGGUGAAAGCCCGGGGCUCAACCCCGGAACGGCCUUUGAAACUAGGUAGCUAGAAUCUUGGAGAGGUCAGUGGAAUUCCGAGUGUAGAGGUGAAAUUCGUAGAUAUUCGGAAGAACACCAGUGGCGAAGGCGACUGACUGGACAAGUAUUGACGCUGAGGUACGAAAGCGUGGGGAGCAAACAGGAUUAGAUACCCUGGUAGUCCACGCCGUAAACGAUGAUAACUAGCUGUCCGGGCACUUGGUGCCUGGGUGGCGCAGCUACGACAUUAAGUUAUUCCGUCCGUCGGGUAGGUACGGUCGCGAGAAUAAACUACAAGAAGUAGUAGCGNGAGAGAGCGACGACGACGACGACGGAGGAGGAG